GUCAUCGCAUCAACAUCAUGCCUUGAAUAUGGAUUACAUGUGGGGCGUCAUAAUCUAAACGUAUCUCAUUAGUGCCCGUAAUGACAAUUUUUAACCAACGAAGCAAUAAUAUGGUCCGGUCCGGUCCUCGGGCGAGAUGCCAUCCCAAAACGCAAGACGGUGGCAAUUGGGUCAUUUACUAGGGACAAACACGGUCUGAUGUGCUGCAACGUCACCAUCACUUGGACCACAUCAGCCCACCUCUCCUACCCUAUUUAACGACUCUGCAUUCCCACAAUUUCCUCAUCCAUCUCACCCCUCUCCUCCAAACUCUUCUCACGAUUCCACUGUACAUUUGCUGCUUCCCAUGGCUGCUUCCUCCUAUUACUACUGCUCCUACUCCGAGGGCAUGCAGUCUCGGCGGCUGUCGUCCAACGAGUCGGGGCUCCGGCGGAGGUGCCUCAUGAUGGUGAAGCAACAGAGGACCCGGUUCUACAUCCUGCGCCGCUGCGUCUCCCUGCUCCUCUGUUGGCACGACUGAUCACAGGUUCACCGAUGCUCUUUUCUGUUUCAUGACGCCGCGCCCCGAGGCAGGAGCUCGACGGCUCGUACACGAGAAGCUGCUUAGAGACGAAGAUGCAGGAAGACAUGGGUGUUUGGCAGAAGUCUUGUUUUGGGGCCUUCCCUUGUUUUGUUUUGUUAAUUGGAUUCCACAAGGCUUCGGUUCAUUAGUUAGUGUACAGAUUUCCGAGACAUCAACUUGAUGUAAAUUAGAUUGUGGGCAUAUGCUUGAUGAGGAAGAGCGUAAUCUCCCGAAAACAUCUUCGAAAGCGUGCAAUUGUGAUCUAGAUGUGUUCUGAUGAAGAGAUUCUAGAAGUCUCAAUCAAAAUAAUGUGAAGGGUGCACACAGGCGGGUCAAGGCGUCCAACCGAUGGACCCUGCAAUAAACUACUUCAACGUGUACAAUUUUAAUCACGUCUAAUCUGAUGUGUCCACCAUGACAUAACCAUGUUUUCAUUUGAAAAAGGCCGUCAACUGAUCAAGUCAUGACAUUGUCAAGUAAUUUACUUUUAAUAUUGCUAGUUGCAGGUCUUAUCUAACAUCUAGAUUAAUUAUAUAUUAUUUUUUAUAAUUAAAUAUUUUAAUAUUUUAAUUUUUUAUAUUUAUAAAAAUUAUAUUAAUAUUUUUAUACUUGAAAGUAAUAUAUUUAAUUUUUUUUUUCACAUCAUUGAUUCUGUUAAUGAAAAUAUCAUAGGGUCUACUACUGAGAGUAUGUAUUGAGUCUGUCUCACUUCUAUUUACUACUGGGCACGUAUCAUAUUUUUACCAACAGAAAUAAUACUAGUAUCACAAAUUUAGCUCUAUUCACUCACAUCUUUUACUUCUACGAUACUAGUAUUACAUGACCGAUAUGUUGAUGUUAGAUGAAUAAUAUUUUGAUGUUAAGUAUUUGAUACGAUGAUCUUAUGACAUUAUAUCUAAGUUGGGGAAUACACAAAAUUAUCCCAACAUCAAUGUACAUCCAUGAAUAUAAUGUUCCAAAAGUUACAAAAAAAUUCACUUAGAUAUGUUGUUAGGAGAGAGCUCUCGUUUUAUUAGUACUUUUGAUUCACUAUUUUCGAUAUUGUCUACACUUCAAUUCUUCAAUUAGCUUAUGCAUCGGAGAUAUUUUAUUAAGCAUGCUCUCGAUAUAAUUUGUAGGAUUCAAUAUCUUUUAGAUUCAACCAUCCCAUCCCCAACAUCAUCAUGCGACAAACGCAAAAUAAGACCUUAGUUGACUCCAAUUUUACAUUCACUUCGGACAAUCAGAUUUCAAUUUAGCAUUUUGAAAACCGAGCAGAUUAUCCCUUUGAAUCAAAAUUGGCAACAAAAUAGAUAAUCAACUCAAUAUGAUCCCACAAAACCCACAGCGAGGUGUCAAAGCUCCACUAAUAAUGAUCUUAAACCUAUAAGAAACUGUCAGAUCAUGUUUCCAUCAGAUCAAGAAAUAACCAAAGCCACCGGACGUCCAUGGACAUGGAAUGGGGUGACCCACGAACAGGCCAGGCCCAGAAACCAUGGCUUUUGAUGCAUAUUCGUUCUAGAAGUUCAUUGGAGAGACGUAAGCGUUCGUAGCAUUUUAGCUCAAUUCCAGUGGAGUAUUCCAAACUUGCCGUAGUGAUUUGAUACUCCUCGUCCUGUGAUGAUGGAAUAAUGCAUGCGUCUUGAGAGGAAAGUGCUCGAGCGAGAGAAGAACAAAUGCAUUUGUUCUCUCCUCUGCCUGCUGUUCUAGAAGAUGCGGAAAGAAACGAAUCGGGACAAAGUUGCAGGAAAACGUUGAAAUUUAGUCUUUUCUUAAAAUAUGGCUUUGCUAAGAUAACAUAUGUUAUAAAGAAUCACGUUAAUAAUUAAUAUAUGAGACCCCCUUGUACAAACUUAAUAUGAGAU
rnacentral:lncRNA from 1 species